rnacentral:rRNA from 1 species
AGAGUUUGAUCCUGGCUCAGGAUAAACGCUGGCGGCGUGCCUAACACAUGCAAGUCGAACGAAGAGGCCCCUUCGGGGGUACUUCAGUGGCGGACGGGUGAGUAACACGUAGGUGACCUGCCCCAAAGCGGGGAAUAACAGUCCGAAAGGAUUGCUAAUACCCCAUGUGGUCAACAAGUUUAGAAGAUUGUUGAUUAAAGGAGUAAUCCGUUUUGGGAGGGGCCUGCGCCCCAUCAGCUAGUUGGUAGGGUAAUGGCCUACCAAGGCUACAACGGGUAGGGGGCCUGAGAGGGUGACCCCCCACAUUGGCACUGACACACGGGCCAAACUCCUACGGGAGCCAGCAGUGAGGAAUAUUGCUCAAUGGGCGAAAGCCUGAAGCAGCAACGCCGCGUGCGCGAUGAAGGUCUUCGGAUCGUAAAGCGCUUUUGAGAGGGACGAGAUAGGACGGUACCUCUUGAAUAAGUCACGGCUAACUACGUGCCAGCAGCCGCGGUAAAACGUAGGUGGCAAGCGUUAUCCGGAUUCACUGGGCGUAAAGCGAGUGCAGGUGGUUGCGUAAGUUGGAUGUGAAAUUUCCCGGCUUAACCGGGAAGGGUCAUUCAAUACUGCGUGACUUGAGGGCAGAAGAGGGGGGUGGAAUUGCCGGUGUAGUGGUGAAAUGCGUAGAUAUCGGCAGGAACACCUGUGGCGAAAGCGGCCCCCUGGUCUGCUCCUGACACUCAGACUCGAAAGCUAGGGUAGCGAACGGGAUUAGAAACCCCGGUAGUCCUAGCCGUAAACGAUGGAUGCUAGGUGUGGGUGGUAUUGACCCCAUCCGUGCCGAAGCUAACGCGUUAAGCAUCCCGCCUGGGGACUACGGCCGCAAGGUUAAAACUCAAAUGAAUUGACGG